AACCCAUAUUGAGGACAUUUCUGUGGGAGCUCCUUGAACAUAUCCCACGUCUCAAAAAAAGACUCUAAUUCCAUUUGCACAAAAGAGGAUAUUUUAUUCCUAAGCUU